GGAGGUAGUGACAAUAAAUCUCAAUACGAAGCCUUUUGGUUUUGUAAUUGAAUUGAGAACAAUGUACAAUCGUUAUCGAUAAACAAUUGGAGGGCAAGUCUGGUGCCAGCAGCCGCGGUAAUUCCAGCUCCAAUAGCGUAUAUUAACGUUGUUGCAGUUAAAAAGCUCGUAGUUGAAAUUUAGAUGAUUAUUGAAAGUGUUUGUAUUCGUACAUUCUUUACUUUCAAAGAAUCAUUGACUUCCAGAUAUGUAUUGAUAGUUUUAAUCUUUCGGGGUUAAUUCUUAAUACUAGACUGGUCAUUUACUGUGAGAAAAUUAGAGUGUUUAAAGCAGACUUAUCAAAGUAGUUUGAAUAGAUUAGCAUGGAAUAAUAAGAUUGGCUUUCAUAGUCGAUUUUUUGGUUUGUUUAUGAAAGCAAGAUUAAUAGGGACAGUUGGGGGUAUUCAUAUUCAAUAGCUAGAGGUGAAAUUCUAUGAUUUAUGGAAGAUGAACAAGUGCGAAAGCA
rnacentral:rRNA from 1 species